UACGUAGGGUGCAAGCGUUGUCCGGAAUUAUUGGGCGUAAAGAGCUCGUAGGCGGUUUGUUGCGUCGGCUGUGAAAUCCCGAGGCUCAACCUCGGGUCUGCAGUCGAUACGGGCAAACUAGAGUGUUGCAGGGGAGACUGGAAUUCCUGGUGUAGCGGUGAAAUGCGCAGAUAUCAGGAGGAACACCGGUGGCGAAGGCAGGUCUCUGGGCAGUAACUGACGCUGAGAAGCGAAAGCGUGGGGAGCGAACAGG
rnacentral:rRNA from 1 species